GACGAACGCUGGCGGCGUGCUUAACACAUGCAAGUCGAACGAAGUGGCGAACGGGUGAGUAACGCGUAAUCAACCUGCCCUUCAGAGGGGGACAACAGUUGGAAACGACUGCUAAUACCGCAUACUGAAGGAGGGGAUUGCGUCUGAUGAGCUAGGUGGAGGGGUAACGGCCCACCAAGGCGAUGAGCAGUAGACGGUCUGGGAGGAUGAACGGCCAAAUUGGGACUGGGAAAAGGCCCAGACUCCUAAGGGAGGGAGGAGUGGGGAAACGUCCGGAAAGGAGGAAAGUCUGACGGAGCAACGCCGCGUGAGGGAUGACAGCCUUCGGGUUGGAAAGCUCUGUUAAUCGGGACGCGGUACCGGAAUAGAAAGCCACGGCUAACUACGUGCCAGCAGCCGCGGUAAUUC
rnacentral:rRNA from 1 species